rnacentral:tRNA from 1 species
AGCAGGGCUGCUAACCUUGCUUUGGGUAGUUCGAUUUUAUCCUUUUUCUUAUGUAUAGAAGACUUCCU